GUUACAAUUCCACUUCACAAGCUCUAUAGUAGCAUCAAUUUCUACGUUGAGGCAAAAUGAGCUUCUUUCUAAUCCAUUCCUCUCAAAGAAAACUAUAGAUGGGCAUUUUCUAUCUUCCUUCCGGUCAUAAACUGCAGCAAUUUUGGCUCCACUGGGCAUCCAAUCCAAAGUUGAUCCCAUGAAAGAAUUUGAUUCUGAAACAGAAUGGAGUGCCCCUGAGUCCCGUUCCCAGAUUUUUAGCUUUUUAUGCAAGGUCUGAGAAUUAUUCACCCUGCUUAACGUUGC
rnacentral:misc_RNA from 1 species